rnacentral:rRNA from 1 species
ACGGGGUGCAGCAGGCGCGAAAACUUUACAAUGCGGGAAACCGUGAUAAGGGGACCCCGAGUGCCUGUACACGCAGGCUGUUCAGGUGUUUAAAACGCAUCUGGAGAAAGGGCCGGGCAAGACCGGUGCCAGCCGCCGCGGUAAUACCGGCGGCUCGAGUGGUGGCCACUAUUACUGGGCUUAAAGCGUCCGUAGCCGGGUUGUCAAGUCUCCUGGGAAAUCCAACGGCUCAACCGUUGGGCGUUCAGGGGAUACUGGCAAUCUAGGGAUCGGGGGAGGUGAGAGGUACUCUAGGGGUAGGAGUGAAAUCCUGUAAUCCUUGGGGGACCACCUGUGGCGAAGGCGUCUCACCAGAACGACUCCGACGGUGAGGGACGAAAGCUGGGGGAGCAAACCGGAUUAGAUACCCGGGUAGUCCCAGCUGUAAACGAUGCGCGUUAGGUGUAUCGGUGACUACGAGUCACCGAGGUGCCGAAGGGAAACCGUGAAACGUGCCGCCUGGGAAGUACGGUCGCAAGGCUGAAACUUAAAGGAAUUGGCGGGGGAGCAC